rnacentral:rRNA from 1 species
UACGGAGGGUGCAAGCGUUGUUCGGAAUUACUGGGCGUAAAGAGCGUGUAGGCGGUAUGGUAAGUCAGAUGUGAAAGCCCUGGGCUUAACCCAGGAAGUGCAUUUGAUACUGCUAUUCUUGAGUAUGGGAGAGGAGAGUGGAAUUCCCAGUGUAGAGGUGAAAUUCGUAGAUAUUGGGAGGAACAUCCGUGGCGAAGGCGACUCUCUGGACCAAUACUGACGCUGAGACGCGAAAGCGUGGGGAGCAAACAGG